AUUGAACGCUGGCGGCAUGCUUUACACAUGCAAGUCGGACGAGUGGCGAACGGGUGAGUAACAUAUCGGAACGUACCGAGUAAUGGGGGAUAACUAAUCGAAAGAUUAGCUAAUACCGCAUAUUAUUCGAGCGGCCGAUAUCUUAUUAGCUGGUUGGUGUGGUAAAGGCCUACCAAGGCGACGCUCAGUAGCGGGUCUGAGAGGAUGAUAAGCCACACUGGGACUGAGAAGCGGCCCAGACUCCUGCGUGAGGCAGCAGUGGUGAAUGUUGGACAAUGGGCGCAAGCAUGAUCCAGCCAUGCCGCGUGGCUGAAGAAGGCCUUCGGGUUGUAAAGGACGUUUGUCAGGGAAGCGUUACCUGAAGAAUAAGCACCGGCUAACUACGUGCCAGCAGCCGCGGUAAUAC
rnacentral:rRNA from 1 species